AAGUUGUAAUAAGGUCUCUGUUGGUGAAUCAGUGGAGGGAUCAUUACUGAGUCAUAUACUUAAAUAAUCCUUUUGUGGACCUGAAUUAAAUCAUUGCCUUGAUGGAUGGUCCUCUGCCAAAACCCAUGUGGUUAUGGAUAGAGGAUUAGAUAGUCCGACAUGCUUAAGGCGUCUGGCGCCAGCCAUUGGCCCUAACCAAUUAAACUCUAAUAACCUUACCUUCUGAGUUUUAAUACAAAAAAAAAUAAGUCAAAACUUUCAAUAAUGGAUCUCUUGGCUUUG
rnacentral:misc_RNA from 1 species